GAUCCUGGCUCAGGAUGAACGCUAGCUACAGGCUUAACACAUGCAAGUCGAGGGGCAGCAUGGUCUUAGCUUGCUAAGGCUGAUGGCGACCGGCGCACGGGUGAGUAACACGUAUCCAACCUGCCGUCUACUCUUGGCCAGCCUUCUGAAAGGAAGAUUAAUCCAUGAUGGCAUCAUGAGUUCACAUGUCCGCAUGAAUUAAAGGUUAUUUUCCGGUAGACGAGG
rnacentral:rRNA from 1 species